AGUUGGUGGAUUGAUUUGUCUGGUUUAUUCCGAUAACGAACGAGACUCCAACCUACUAAAUAGUGGUCGAAUCUUUCAGUUCGAAUCACUUCUUAGAGGGACAAGCAGUGUUUAGCUGCAUGAGAAGGAGCAAUAACAGGU
rnacentral:rRNA from 1 species